UUUCCAUAUGAAUCCUCCAAUUCUUCUCAUUAGAGCAACCUAAGAAUUAGGCUCCCAAAGUAGAACACCUUAAAUUGUGUUCUCUUUCUUUCUCUCUCAUACUAAUGGACCUUCACAUAUACCACUCCUUUCUCCUUUUGUUUCUGAAUACUUAGAUUAAGGUGAUGUAAGUUGCCAUUUACCAAAGGGUGCAUGUUGGGUGAAAGGAACCAGAUGGAAACUCAGCUGGAGAAACAUAGGAACUCUCUAAAUGAGAAACAGCUGAGUUGGGACAAGGACACAGAGUGAAGACUAAACUGUGUCUUUGCAAGGUACAAGAAGACUGGCUAAAUUACAUUAUCAACCUGCUUUCUUUGCUGUUGCAUUGGCGGCCUCAAGACACCAUUUGGGUUGGGUUCAAUGGUGACUGGGGUGAGGGGUAGGGAAAGGCUGAAAUCCUGCCUGGUUGUUUUUAGGCUAUGCUUGCCCAGAGAAGUCACAUUCUUUCCUAAUUUGCACAAAGAUGUCAUAUGGAUUAGUGGUAGCUAUGGUAGAAUUAGUCUAAAUUUCAGCAAAAACUAUUAUGAGUAAAUAAUGAAUCACUGAGAAAGAAUUGAUUUUUCUUAGAUUAGGCAGGUCAGGAAAUGCAUAAAUUAUAGCAAGGAUUUAGGUUAGACCAAUGUGGUUUUGCUCCAGGUUUUGAAAGAAUAGAUAAACCAUCUUUCUAAGAUGGUCCUGGAUCAUUGAUAAUGCCUGCUUUAGUAACCCCAAAGACUUUUAUGAGACCAUGAAGUCAUUGCAACAGAACUUCACAUGUCUUUCUAGUCUUCUCAUUUGCUCAACCAAAAACUAAAUGGUGCUCACUAUUGAAAUGGUAGAGAGACACAUACUGUUGACAACUCAUGUAUAUAAAGAUUCCGUGACUCUGAAAUAUCACCACAAAAUACUAAACCCAGUGCCAUUAAUGCUUAAUCUCACUUGACUCUUGUGAGUGGAGUUUGGAGGGGCUUCCUCUUUUACUACAGACCUAACGUCAUUGCAACUGUCCCCUGGCUCGCUUACAGCUGCCUCCAAUCUUUAAAAGGGGGAAUGAGACACUUUAGUUAGGAAGCAGGCAAAAUAAGGUCACAGAAAAGUCAGAGUAAGGUGGGCUGCAAUUCUUCUUCUCAUGCAUUUCAAAUUAAGAGAGAACGUAAGGGUUAACUAUAAAGUAUUCCACCUUGAACCCCCGCCCUCUCUUUAUCUAGCGCACCAUAAUAAAAGAUCAAGAGUUCCUGCUUAUUAUUUUAUUUUUCCUCCUUGCUCCACCAGGCUAAGGCCCAGUCUGGUUAUGGAUUAACACGGGGAUCAAUACUAAGCCUGCUGUCUCUCUCCCGGCAGGGGAAAAUGAACUCAAAAUGCAGUCAAACUCUUAUUGAUCAAGGAUAUAGGUCUCACUUUCAUUACCUCUGUCUCCUGAUAACCCACAAAUAAUGUGAUGAGUUGCUAAUCUCUCUGAUUUUCAAUGGACCCUUCACCCCUCCUGUCUGCACAUUGCAGCUUUUAUUUUCAUCCUGAUACACACUCUGUGUAAUUCAUGUAGCACUAACUCUCACUCUCCUACCGUCAGACCUGGUCCAUCAGAGCUAAUAAUAUCGCUCUUCACUGGGUGCGGAGGCUCCAGCCAGUUCAGAAUAUAGUGGCUCCAAGCGUGGCAAAGAAAUGCUAUGUGCAGACUGCUUCUUUCAAGGGCAGAGAGGCGGGAAGCCUUCUUGGUGAAGCGACACUCAGCUUGGUAGUAAUCUUCCCAAGAUGUGAGCUGCUUCUACUGAAGUAGUCCCAGAUUUUACAAACUUACCUGUUCAAGACUCUUGAGUGGCCAAUUUCAUUUUGGCCACCUCUUUUCAGAGGAUCUGAACAGACUAACACAAAGCGCUUUGCCACUGUGGUGCUAGGGGAGGGUCGGUCCCCUCACGCUUGGUGCCAAAAUGACCACAGGAAAUUUUCGUUAAAUAGCUGUGGAAAAUACCAUGGGAUAAGCCUAGAAAAAAAUCAAGGUAUUUAAAAUAUAAUAUUGCAUUGAUUUCUUUAAUUAAAGGUAGUGUGGUCUGACAGAAACUACACGGUUUUUGAGGCAAAAGCUCUAUUUCACAUUCUUGAACCUUCCACCGACUCAGGUAGGAAAAUGAGGACUCUGUGCUUGGAACAAAAUCACUUCACUUUUGUCUGGGAAAUUCUCGUCUUGCUUCAGUUUAUGAGAUAAAAAGGGACCCAAAUCAAUGCUUUAGAAAAGUGAUUACCUUCAGAAGCAUGGUUACUUUUUGGUUUGUUAAUAACUCACCAUGACCUUCCUACUUCUUUUUUUUUUUAUUCUGCAACUUACUACUUUUUUAAAGCUAAGCAAAAAGAAAAGAAAAACAACCUAACUUCCAUUGUGUGUGAUGUCACUUAGGCAUUUAGCUGGUAAGAGAUCCUCAGGUAUAAAAUGGCACUGACCACAGGUAUUGAAAAGAGUGUGCUGAAAUUCAUUACUUUCCUCUGCUGGAUUGUUAGAGCUGAAUUAAAGCUAACAACAGUCGCUUUCCCUCCCUGAUACACAAUCAGGGAAUGCUCACCUCACUGAAUCACUGUUGUGAGGAAAGUCAUAAUAUUUUCUGCUGCCAAGCUGAUUAAAGUAACUCACAAUGAAACAAAUUCCUCUUUCUUGAAGAAAAUACCCAAUGACCAGUAGCAACUAAGUGAAUACUCGGCUUGCGUUCAGCCUGUAGGGUCUGAAUGCUGUUUUUCAGCUCCAGUGCAAACAAUUUGUACACCUGUUGAAGAGAAAAGAAGAUAUGACAGUGGUACAAAGUCUGGGGGAUUAAAGAGAUCUGCAUUGAUCUCCUAAAGCUGAGAUAUCUUCUCAGCUACACUCUCCAUGAAUGCGGUCUGGUGGUGUCCACAUGAUUCCAAACAUUCAGAUGGAAAAUGAAGAAUAUAGAAAAUCUCCCAGAUGUCCCAGCUUCUCUAAGUAAGUGGAACAAUGGACACUCCAAGAGUUAAUCCUCUCUUUAGCUUUGGGCAGCUGAGCAGCCACAGCUACCCAAGUUCACCAGCAGGACAUGUGGAUGAACUCACCGGCCCUAGAAUCCUACCUCAGUGUCUCUGGGUUGGAGAAUGCACCACUGUCAAAGCAACUGGGAAACUUCUGGCUCUGUUGUGCAGCCUGAAGAUACACAGCUCAAGCUCCCCAUCUGCUUUUUCUCAUCUUAAUUUUUCACUUGUACAAAUAUUCUCUUUCUACUAAGGGCAAAAAACACUCUUUUUCAAUCAAUGUUCUCCUCUGGAAAGAACACAAGAAUUUAAAAAAGACAGUCAAAUCUGAUUGAUACAAUCACUUACAUGGGUUCAGAAUUUUAUAUAAAUACAAAUCUUUUUACUUUCAUUACAUGAAAUAAGUAGUCUUUGUAAUGGAAGUUAUACCCAAAGUUUCUAUACAUUAUGCAUACUUGAAUGCAUAUGUACAGUGUCCUAACACUUGAAAUGAGCUUGCUUCUUUGGUUAUGUAAUAAAGAUAGCAAUCUUUAUUCUUUAGACUAUAGCACCAGAGGUGGAGAUAGAAGAAACUUUGUUUCUCUUACUAGUUUAUUGAAUAAUCAGUUGCUUAAAAAGUAGCUAUUUAAAUUGAUUCCUAAGGAAAAUCUACCUGGAAAAUAAAAUCACACAGUCAUCUAGAGCUCCCAAGGGCUAAGCGAUUUGUAUAAGGUCAGGCACUCAUGACUGGGACCCACUUCUCCUGGCUCCCAGACAAUUAUUGGUAAUGGUUUAGAACUAAAUAUGGACAAUUUCUGGAUCCACCAUCAGGGUCUCUUAUGCAGGCUGUGGUCCCCAUGCUAAAUAUCCUCAGGGAACUAUUUGGGAGAAGAAUUAAGCUGGCUUACAACCAUACCACUGUUAAAAAUAUAUUUUUUUGUUAAGUACAUUAUAAUAUUUUUUUCUGUAUGUGUCAAUACUCACUACAUUUGACUACUUUUGUCAUCAGUAGCUGUAGUUUAUUGGUUUGGCUAAUCAGAUGAACAGAUGUUUAUAAUCUUAGCCCC